GGCACAGUGGUGCAGUGGGUAGCACUGUUGCCUCACAGCAAGGAGGUCCUUGGUUAAAAUCCUGGCGGGGGCC
rnacentral:tRNA from 1 species